rnacentral:tRNA from 1 species
AGGGGUGUGGUGUAAUGGCUAACACAGCGGUCUCCAAAACCGUCAGAUGGUGGUUCGAAUCCAUUCACCCCUGCCA